rnacentral:tRNA from 1 species
CGCGGGGUGGAGCAGCUGGCAGCUCGUCGGGCUCAUGACCCGAAGGUCGCAGGUUCAAAUCCCGGCCCCCGCAACCA